AACGAACGCUGGCGGCAUGCCUAACACAUGCAAGUCGAACGAGACCUUCGGGUCUAGUGGCGCACGGGUGCGUAACGCGUGGGAACCUUCCCUUAGGUUCGGAAUAACUCCCCGACAGGGGUGCUAAUACCGGAUCAUGUCUUCGGACCAAAGAUUUAUCGCCUUUGGAUGGGCCCGCGUUGGAUUAGCUAGUUGGUAGGGUAAAAGACUACCAAGGCGACGAUCCAUAGCUGGUCUGAGAGGAUGAUCAGCCACACUGGGACUGAGACACGGCCCAGACUCCUACGGGAGGCAGCAGUGGGGAAUAUUGGACAAUGGGCGAAAGCCUGAUCCAGCAAUGCCGCGUGAGUGAUGAAGGCGGUAGGGUUGUAAAGCUCUUUUACCCGGGAUGAUAAUGACAGUACCGGGAGAAUAAGCUCCGGCUAACUCCGU
rnacentral:rRNA from 1 species